rnacentral:rRNA from 1 species
AGCAGCCGCGGUAAUUCCAGCUCCAAUAGCGUAUAUUAAAGUUGUUGCAGUUAAAAGCUCGUAGUUGAAUUUCGGAAUCAAUUUAUUGGUCGUGCAAUAGUACGUACUGGUUUUAUUGGUUUCUCCCUUCUGAUGAACCAUGAUGUCAUUAAUUUGGUGUUAUGGGGAAUCAGGACUGUUACUUUGAAAAAUUGGAGUGUUUAAAGCAGGCUCACGCUUGAAUACAUUAGCAUGGAAUAAUGAAAUAGGACGUUUGAUUCUAUUUUGUUGGUUUCUAGGUAUCGACGUAAUGAUUAAUAGGGAUAGUUGGGGGCAUUAGUAUUCAAUUGUCAGAGGUGAAAUUCUUGGAUUUAUUGAAGACUAACUACUGCGAAAGCAUUUGC